GACGAACGCUGGCGGCGUGCUUAACACAUGCAAGUCGAACGCUGAAGCUCAGCUUUUGUUGGGUGGAUGAGUGGCGAACGGGUGAGUAACACGUGAGUAACCUGCCCCCUUCUUUGGGAUAACGCCCGGAAACGGGUGCUAAUACUGGAUAUUCACUGGUCUUCGCAUGGGGGUUGGUGGAAAGGGUUUUUCUGGUGGGGGAUGGGCUCGCGGCCUAUCAGCUUGUUGGUGGGGUGAUGGCCUACCAAGGCUUUGACGGGUAGCCGGCCUGAGAGGGUGACCGGUCACAUUGGGACUGAGAUACGGCCCAGACUCCUACGGGAGGCAGCAGUGGGGAAUAUUGCACAAUGGGCGCAAGCCUGAUGCAGCGACGCCGCGUGAGGGAUGGAGGCCUUCGGGUUGUGAACCUCUUUCACUCAUGGUCAAGCCGCAACAAUGGUUGUGGUGAGGGUAGUGGGUAAAGAAGCGCCGGCUAACUACGUG
rnacentral:rRNA from 1 species